rnacentral:lncRNA from 1 species
AUUUAGAGAUGGAGUGAGUUUUGGACUUAUUUACAAGUUUGCCACUCCAAUGAAUUAAGGUAUAAAUAUGACUUUAUAGCCAAAAUUCAUUUAGGGUUUUCUUUUUGGGAAAGGAUGAGAACAUAAGCUCUCCUUUGUCUCUAAAGUGGCCGGCCUCCUUGGAGGGUUUAGCUAGCAAUCCUACUACUCCAAGGUCACUCAUUUCUUCUCCAAUCUAACCUUGGUGAAGAGACUUAGAUGUUCUCAAUUUUGGGAACUUGGAGAACCAUUUCAUCCAUCCAAAUCCAUAGAU